UACAGAGGUCCCAAGCGUUGUUCGGAUUCACUGGGCGUAAAGGGUGCGUAGGUGGUGGGGUAAGUCGGAUGUGAAAGCUCGGAGCUCAACUCCGAAAUGGCAUUGGAAACUACCCUGCUAGAGGAUUGGAGGGGGGGACUGGAAUACUUGGUGUAGCAGUGAAAUGCGUAGAUAUCAAGUGGAACACCAGUGGCGAAGGCGAGUCCCUGGACAAUACCUGACACUGAGGCACGAAAGCUAGGGGAGCAAACAGG
rnacentral:rRNA from 1 species